rnacentral:rRNA from 1 species
GACGAACGCUGGCGGCGUGCCUAAUACAUGCAAGUUGAGCGCUGAAGGUUGGUACUUGUACCAACUGGAUGAGCAGCGAACGGGUGAGUAACGCGUGGGGAAUCUGCCUUUGAGCGGGGGACAACAUUUGGAAACGAAUGCUAAUACCGCAUAAAAACUUUAAACACAAGUUUUAGGUUUAAAUGAUGCAUUGCCAUCACGAAAAGAUCAUCCCGAGUUUGAUUAGUUAGUUGGUGAGGUAAAGGCUCACCAAGGCGAAGAUACAUAGCCGACCUGGGAGGGUGAACGGCCACAUUGGGACUGAGAAACGGCCCAAACUCCUAAGGGAGGCAGCAGUAGGGAAUCUUCGGAAAUGGACGAAAGUCUGACCGAGCAACGCCGCGUGAGUGAAGAAGGGUUUCGGAUCGUAAAACUCUGUUGGUAGAGAAGAAAGUUGGUGAGAGUGGAACGCUCAUCAAGUGACGGUAACUACCCAGAAAGGGACGGCUAACUACGUG